rnacentral:rRNA from 1 species
UUGGAUUUCUGGCGGGAGCGGGUGGUCCGGCACUUUGUGUUGGUACUUUCCUGUCUCUUGCCAUCCUUGGGUCUAAGCUGUCUGGCAUUUAGUUGUCGGGCAGUGGCUGCCCAUCGUUUACUGUGAAAAAAUUAGAGUGUUCAAAGCAGGCUUAUGCCGUUGAAUAUAUUAGCAUGGAAUAAUAAGAUAGGACCUUGGUACUAUUUUGUUGGUUUGCGCACCGAGGUAAUGAUUAAGAGGGACAGUUGGGGGUAUUCGUAUUCAAUUGUCAGAGGUGAAAUUCUUGGAUUUCUGGAAGACGAACUACUGCGAAAGCAUUUACCAAGGAUGUUUUCAUUAAUCAAGAACGAAAGUUAGGGGAUCGAAGAUGAUUAGAUACCAUCGUAGUCUUAACCAUAAACUAUGCCGACUAGGGAUUUGUGGGUGUUAUUUUUGACCCCAUGAGCACCUUAUGAGAAAUCAAAGUCUUUGGGUUCCGGGGGGAGUAUGGU